rnacentral:rRNA from 1 species
UACAGAGGUCUCAAGCGUUGUUCGGAUUCAUUGGGCGUAAAGGGUGCGUAGGCGGCGCGGUAAGUCGGGUGUGAAAUCUCGGGGCUUAACUCCGAAACUGCAUUCGAUACUGCCGUGCUUGAGGACUGGAGAGGAGACUGGAAUUUACGGUGUAGCGGUGAAAUGCGUAGAUAUCGUAAGGAAGACCGGUGGCGAAGGCGGCGCUCUGGACCGAGACUGACGCUGAGGCGCGAAAGCGUGGGGAGCAAACAGG